GACAGAGGGUGCAAACGUUGCUCGGAAUCACUGGGCGUAAAGGGCGCGUAGGCGGACAAGUAAGUCGGGCGUGAAAUCCCUAGACUCAACCUAGGAACUGCACUCGAAACUGCAUGUCUUGAGUACCGGAGAGGAAAGCGGAAUACCUGGUGUAGAGGUGAAAUUCGUAGAUAUCAGGUGGAACACCAGUGGCGAAGGCGGCUUUCUGGACGGUAACUGACGCUGAGGCGCGAAAGCGUGGGGAGCAAACAGG
rnacentral:rRNA from 1 species